rnacentral:rRNA from 1 species
AGAGUUGAUCAUGGCUCAGGAUGAACGCUAGCUACAGGCUUAACACAUGCAAGUCGAGGGGUAGCAGGGUAGCAAUACCGCUGACGACCGGCGCACGGGUGAGUAACACGUAUCCAACCUUCCCAUAACUCAGGGAUAGCCCUUCGAAAGAAAGAUUAAUACCUGAUGGUACUUAUAUAAGGCAUCUUUUAUAAGUUAAAGAUUUAUUGGUUAUGGAUGGGGAUGCGUUCCAUUAGAUAGUUGGUGAGGUAACGGCUCACCAAGUCUUCGAUGGAUAGGGGUUCUGAGAGGAAGGUCCCCCACAUUGGUACUGAGACACGGACCAAACUCCUACGGGGGGCAGCAGUGAGGAAUAUUGGUCAAUGGGCGCGAGCCUGAACCAGCCAAGUAGCGUGAAGGAUGAAGGUCCUAUGGAUUGUAAACUUCUUUUAUAGUAGAAUAAAGUGAGCCACGUGUGGUUUUUUGUAUGUAUACUAUGAAUAAGGAUCGGCUAACUCCGUGCCAGCAGCUGC